AUACGUAGGUAGCAAGCGUUGUCCGGAUUUAUUGGGCGUAAAGCGAGCGCAGGCGGUUUCUUAAGUCUGAUGUGAAAGCCCCCGGCUUAACCGGGGAGGGUCAUUGGAAACUGGGAGACUUGAGUGCAGAAGAGGAGAGUGGAAUUCCAUGUGUAGCGGUGAAAUGCGUAGAUAUAUGGAGGAACACCAGUGGCGAAGGCGACUCUCUGGUCUGUAACUGACGCUGAGGCUCGAAAGCGUGGGGAGAAAACAGGAUUAGAUACCCUGGUAGUCCACGCCGUAAACGAUGAGUGCUAAGUGUUGGAGGGUUUCCGCCCUUCAGUGCUGCAGCUAACGCAUUAAGCACUCCGCCUGGGGAGUACGGCCGCAAGGUUGAAACUCAAAUGAAUUGACGGGG
rnacentral:rRNA from 1 species